CUACGGGCGGCUGCAGUGGGGAAUAUUGCACAAUGGGCGCAAGCCUGAUGCAGCCAUGCCGCGUGUAUGAAGAAGGCCUUCGGGUUGUAAAGUACUUUCAGCGGGGAGGAAGGGAGUAAAGUUAAUACCUUUGCUCAUUGACGUUACCCGCAGAAGAAGCACCGGCUAACUCCGUGCCAGCAGCCGCGGUAAUACGGAGGGUGCAAGCGUUAAUCGGAAUUACUGGGCGUAAAGCGCACGCAGGCGGUUUGUUAAGUCAGAUGUGAAAUCCCCGGGCUCAUCCUGGGAACUGCAUCUGAUACUGGCAGGCUUGAGGCUCGUAGAGGGGGGUAGAAUGCCAGGUGUAGCGGUGAAAUGCGUAGAGAUCUGGAGGAAUACCGGUGGCGAAGGCGGCCCCCUGGACGAAGACUGACGCUCAGGUGCGAAAGCGUGGGGAGCAAACAGGAUUAGAUACCCGAGUAGUC
rnacentral:rRNA from 1 species